rnacentral:rRNA from 1 species
AGUCGAGGGGCAGCAUGGUCUUAGCUUGCUAAGGCCGAUGGCGACCGGCGCACGGGUGAGUAACACGUAUCCAACCUGCCGUCUACUCUUGGACAGCCUUCUGAAAGGAAGAUUAAUACAAGAUGGCAUCAUGAGUCCACAUGUUCACAUGAUUAAAGGUAUUCCGGUAGACGAUGGGGAUGCGUUCCAUUAGAUAGUAGGCGGGGUAACGGCCCACCUAGUCUUCGAUGGAUAGGGGUUCUGAGAGGAAGGUCCCCCACAUUGGAACUGAGACACGGUCCAAACUCCUACGGGAGGCAGCAGUGAGGAAUAUUGGUCAAUGGGCGAGAGCCUGAACCAGCCAAGUAGCGUGAAGGAUGACUGCCCUAUGGGUUGUAAACUUCUUUUAUAAAGGAAUAAAGUCGGGUAUGCAUACCCGUUUGCAUGUACUUUAUGAAUAAGGAUCGGCUAACUCCGUGCCAGCAGCCGCGGUAAUACGGAGGAUCCGAGCGUUAUCCGGAUUUAUUGGGUUUAAAGGGAGCGUAGAUGGAUGUUUAAGUCAGUUGUGAAAGUUUGCGGCUCAACCGUAAAAUUGCAGUUGAUACUGGAUAUCUUGAGUGCAGUUGAGGCAGGCGGAAUUCGUGGUGUAGCGGUGAAAUGCUUAGAUAUCACGAAGAACUCCGAUUGCGAAGGCAGCCUGCUAAGCUGCAACUGACAUUGAGGCUCGAAAGU